ACGGCCUGCUCUUGAUUCUGAAUAUGACUCUUCAUCUGCUUCAUCAUAGCUUGAUUUCUCUCUUUUCUUCUGCCUUUUCCCGCUCCUGAUCUAGUUCUACCUCAAAUGACAUUGUCAUCCUUUUCAUUUGCCCCUCUGUUUCUUUGACUUGAAUCUGGGCUUCCCUCAGUCUUUUUAGGGUUUCUUGUCUAUCUCUCUUGGUCUCUUCAUAAAGAUAUCUCCAACGUUCCUCAGCUUCUAGUGUCGUACUCCUUUCUUUCACCCUCAAGGCUAACUUUGUGUUGGCGGCUGCGAGAUCCUACUUUAUUCGAAGCGUAUAAUCUCCUUCGAUGUUUUGUUUCCUGAGAAUCCCUUCAUAUGCCCGCGUUAUUUCUUCUUUUUCCGACCUCAAAUCUACACCAUCGUUGCGAGCAUUCCGUAGCUCUUUCAUCAACUUAGCAUUCUGAUUUCUCACUUCUUCUAUUUCUCUCUUCAAUUGUUUUUCUAAACUUAUCAAUCUUGUCAUAUUCAUGUCGGGGACUCUAAUGUGUGGGCUCCUUUUUAUUAUGGCGGAAUUAGUUUGUUGCAAGGUUNCAUAUUCCAUGUUAAGUCCCAACCUUUACGAUAUCAAAUAACUAUGUGAUUUCCGCUAGUACUGGUAAAAAUGUGGCUAAUGCAUGUGAUGCAUGAAACAUAUAUGUCAAAUAAUAAUCAAAGGACAACAUGUUUUAUGCUUUUAAAGUAGGUCCAAUAUAUUAAGGUUUAAGCAAUGUAUAUGCAAUCUCACAAGGAAGGCUUCCUAAACCUAAGAUCAAGGCCACCAGAGCUAUGGUCCUUUUCACAGCUUUUCCACAACAGUUGGACGCAACUAGGUGUGAAAUUGCAUGUAAAGAGAACAGCCACUGGCUGGGGUUUUCACGAUAGCCAAACUGGAGACAGUCCAAACGUGACACCGCUACACAACCCCUCUAAUUCUAAGUUGCACUCAGGCCCGGGUAUAGGGCCCCACUCAUGAUAUGUACAACAAUAAUAAUAAUAAAAAGAAUAAAAUACCAAAAUAGAUAAAGACAAACACAUAUAAAAAAAGGGAAAAUAAAAUAAAAUAAAAAAGGAAUAAAAUAAAAUAAAAUAAGAAAAAGCACAUCAAUUUUGGACAUUUAAUUAUCAAGGCCUGAUUCUCUAGCAUCCCCAGUGGAGUCGCCAACUAUCGCAACCGGGAUCGCGACGGGACGACAAACCGAAAAACAAACAGGUUUAAAAAAAAUUUUGGGAGUCGCCAUCAUAAUUUAUUAUGGAAAAACUAUGGAAAAACCUUAAAAUAAAAGCAU
rnacentral:lncRNA from 1 species